CCAGUAAUCCUCUGCAACUUUCCUAUCCCCUGUACAUACUUUUGUGUGAGUGCCCAACAACUUCUUUUUAUCCUUAGAGGGAUGAGAAAGACAAGCCAAACAUAAUAUGGCUUAAUACAAUGUCCCAUAUUUUAACCAAAGCCUGCAAAAAAAGAACAACCCAAAAAACUGUGUUAAACAUAGUAGAGCUUCAAAGCCCUAGCUCAUGAACAAAGUGACAGAGUCCCUAGAAAGAAAAGAGGAUCACCUGUGCCCUAAGGUAUUUCUGGAAGAGACUGUGGAAGGGAAAAAGAAUCACAGAUAUUUGAAGUGUGCCAAGCCAUGCUUCAUGUUCACAGCAGUCAAAGGUACAGCCAGAGACAUUGUUUCCAGCAGAAUUGUCACCUUCCUUGAGAUGGGCACACAAAGCAGCAACAGUGGCCACUGUGAAGAAACCCGGAAUCAAAUGAGGGUGUAACAAUGGAGAUAAAUGAAAACAGAGAAUAAAAUCCCAGUCAUGAGUGAGCUUAAAUACCGCUGCUUGGAACUGACAAAAACUCAAGUCACAACAGUCAUGGAGCCAACAGCUGGAAGCAAAGGAAUUUACAAGGAGAG